rnacentral:rRNA from 1 species
UUGAACGCUGGCGGCAUGCCUUACACAUGCAAGUCGAACGGCAGCACGGGGGCAACCCUGGUGGCGAGUGGCGAACGGGUGAGUAAUACAUCGGAACGUGCCCUGAAGUGGGGGAUAACGUAGCGAAAGUUACGCUAAUACCGCAUAUUCUGUGAGCAGGAAAGUGGGGGAUCGCAAGACCUCACGUUAUUCGAGCGGCCGACGUCUGAUUAGCUAGUUGGUGGGGUAAAGGCUCACCAAGGCGACGAUCAGUAGCGGGUCUGAGAGGAUGAUCCGUCACACUGGAACUGAGACACGGUCCAGACUCCUACGGGAGGCAGCAGUGGGGAAUUUUGGACAAUGGGGGCAACCCUGAUCCAGCCAUUCCGCGUGAGUGAAGAAGGCCUUCGGGUUGUAAAGCUCUUUCAGCCGGAACGAAACGGUACGCUCUAACAUAGCGUGCUAAUGACGGUACCGGCAGAAGAAGCACCGGCUAACUACGU